rnacentral:lncRNA from 1 species
GGAAAAAACUACUAGUAUGAACCAAUACUAGUUCGAUACCGGCACCAAAAGAGUAGGAGAAAAUUUUAUAACAUAUUUAUAUAAUACUACUUUGGGAAAAGAAAAUGCAGUACACAUUAUUUGUUACUGUGAUGUAACGUGAAAAAGUACCCAAUAAUACAAGAGUAUUGAAGGAAGUAUCAAGUGAUACUUUAAUCCAAAGAAAAAAAGUAUUCAUGGAUACUUAAAUAUAUAAAAAAUAUCAAUUGAUCGAUCUGAUCUCAUCUAGAAAUAAAUAAGACAGGCUUGUUGUCACCAUCUCUCUCAUCACGGCGAUGAUGCAUUGCAGACGGGAUACCUGGCAGCGCAGUGAUCGGUGAUGCAACCUGGACGGGAUCCUGGUGGCGUAGCGAUCGACAAUGCAAUGUAGACUCGAUGCGGCACAUGCUCCAAUCCCAUACCAGCUCCUCGAACUCUCAAAGGGAUCUCCAGAAAUAACAGAUGCGAUGCAAAAGGCCGGGUAACUGAUUUAUAUAUAACGAACGGGAAAUUAGGAUCGUUGGUUCUUAACGGGUUUUCUG